GACGAACGCUGGCGGCGUGCCUAACACAUGCAAGUCGAACGGAAAGGCCCUGCUUUUGUGGGGUGCUCGAGUGGCGAACGGGUGAGUAACACGUGAGUAACCCGCCCUUGACUUUGGGAUAACUUCAGGAAACUGGGGCUAAUACCGGAUAGGAGCUCCUGCUGCAUGGUGGGGGUUGGAAAGUUUCGGCGGUUGGGGAUGGACUCGCGGCUUAUGAGCUUGUUGGUGGGGUAGUGGCUUACCAAGGCUUUGACGGGUAGCCGGCCUGAGAGGGUGAACAGCCACAAUGGGACUGAGAGACGGCGCAGACUGGUACGGGAGGCAGCAGUGGGGAAUAUUGCACAGUGGGCGGAAGCGUGAGGCGGAAGCGCCGCGUGCGGGAUGACGGCCUUCGGGUUGUGAACCGCUGUCGCCUGUGACGAAGCGGGAGUGACGGUAAUGGAUAAAGAAGCACCGGCUAACUACGUG
rnacentral:rRNA from 1 species